rnacentral:tRNA from 1 species
GGCAACUUGGCCGAGCGGUCUAAGGCGCCAGACUCAGGAUCUGGUCCUUCGGGGCGUGAGUUCGAAUCUCACAGUUGUCA